UGGGAAAUUUGGUAUGUCACUCUGCUGUC
rnacentral:piRNA from 1 species